GUAAUUAAUAUGACCCUCUACUUCUAUUUUUGGUUUGUAAAAAUGUACUGGAGUCUCAAAGUUGAAUUUUGUGGUAAAAAUAAAGUCCCAAGUAACCUUACUUUCAACUUUCCAUAAAUUCACCAAACAUAUUGAAGAUUACUGGACCAUAUUCCAGAUACCAUCACAAUUUCUAUUAAUGAAAAUGCAUAGAGCUUUAGAUAAGUAAGGAUUAGAUAAGUAGGUGAAAGUUGCUCUCUUAUACAUGAAAGGCAAUUUAACAUACUCAUACACUACCUUUACACAGCAAAAGUAGUCUAGAAGUAAAAAAUAGCAAAGUAAAGUAAAAAAAAAGUUCUUAUUCUUCUGAAAUAUUUUAUCUACCUACUGCAAUGAUACUAUUUACUAUCAUAUUGCAUUAUAAAUUGAUUUAACAGUUUAUCCUAACCACUCAAAAGCAGUUCUGGAUUCUGGCCAUGUAAUUGCAUGUGUGCUCAUAUCAGUGAUUCUAGUUUGCAGUAGUGGUAGUAAGAAUAGAACUGGCACAAGUGCAUAAAUGCUCAUAUGCUUUUUGGAUGAAUAGAGCAAGUCCUACUUCUAUAUUCACAAUUAAUUAUAUAAAUAGGAAUGAACAAUCACAUAUGAAUAUGAAUGCAAAGGGUUAAAAAUUACAGAAUUCUUUAACCAACUUAUGCAUAAAAAAUUGUGAAAUCGUAUUAGGUAAUUGGCAGUGCGACCUUAAGCCUACUUUCUUCUACUACCAAGGAAAAUCUAGCUGAUAUAAUGGAGCUUAUUUUGAAUCAAUACGCACAGGAUGACACUUCAAGGAUCAACUCAAGAAAGCAUCACCGUGGGUGAAUAAUGCUUAAAAUUUGCACAUGUGGCAAGAAAGUACCAUUUAUCAUAUGCAACUACCAACAUUCUUGCGGCAGGUUAUGACAAGCUAUGCUAAAGAUCCUACUUUUUACCUGUUAAUGGAUCUUUGGUAGACAAAAAUAUCAAGGAUAUAAGAAUGGGAAAGACACUUUGAUGUAGUGGUCUGGAAACCAGGAAAACUGUGCUUUCGACUUGUGCCUGAGAGCCAGGGUUGGCAUGACCUACGCAUGAUGCAUCCAGCCUGCGGGCUACCAGUUUGACACCCUGCCUUAGUCUUCUUGGAGGAUGAUAAAUUCCUGGCUCUUCACCCACGUAUUCAGCUGGAAUGGAAGUGAGCCUAGCUCAUUAAAAUUGGUUGGAAAUUGUGGCACUAUGGUGGGGUUAAAUAGACCAACACUUCAACUUUAGCAGCCAAUUGCCAGUCAUUUGUGGCUGCUUCAACGAAGAAAUGGUUGCAGUGUUGCAGUGGGCUUGUGCAAUUUAAUUAUGUUUAAGAUGGCUGGAAUUUUAUAAUACUGCCACCCAGGAAUAAGCUUUCUUUAACAAAUUUUAAAAAUCUCAAACCUGAAUUUUAGCAUUGCAGUGUACAGGUAGCAAUUUAUCCAAAUAUUCUGUACAAAAAGUUUUUGAAUAUAGAUUUUUUAUUGAUUAGGAAAAAGGAUGGUGUAACUUGUGGCAAAUACAUGUAAAAUGCUGUAAUCCAAUACAGACUUCUGACAUACAGUCUCAGAAGAAGGCCCAUCAAAUCUAAGGUGGCUCAAGUUUACGGAGAGAAACAACUUUUUCAAUUUGAAAAUUUCAGUUUUUAGGUAGAUAGGCAGAGUGACAAAUAUUGUACUAUAUGCAGUUUUUGACUUUAUGUUAAUAAAUUUAGUGUUUGUACAUCUACUUUAUUUUUGGCUGUAAUAAAUGGAAUAUGAAACUUUUCCUGGAAUUGUGAUGAAAAACCUUCUCUAUCCCUGGGGUAAAAAAUGAAAUAAAUGUAAACCUGAUCUACCCUAUUCCAUUCACACACUAUUUAGAUAUCUUGCUUGGUUGGAGUAUCAUUUAGAGCUCCAGAAAGAGAAGAGUACCAGAGAAGCAGAGAGGAUAGGA